rnacentral:rRNA from 1 species
UACGAGGGGAGCUAGCGUUAUUCGGAAUUACUGGGCGUAAAGGGCGUGUAGGCGGAAUGCCAAGUCAGUUGUUAAAUCCUUCGGCUUAACCGGAGAACAGCAAUUGAAACUGGCAAUCUAGAGUACAGAAGAGAGAAGUGGAAUUAUCGGAGUAGCGGUAAAAUGCGUAGAUCUCGAUAGGAACACCAAUUGCGAAGGCAGCUUCUUGGUCUGUUACUGACGCUGAGACGCGAAAGCGUGGGGAGCAAACAGG